UACAUACUAGCAAGAUUGUUGUUGAAUGCAGGGCCAGGCAUACAUAAAUAGAUUAGACAACGGAGAUACUCCCAAAACAUCCUGCUAAAAAUCCUGGUAGUUGUCGAGUUUUGGACUAUGUUGUCUCUAUUUUGCAUUAUCAUUGACUAAAGGAAGACAAGCUACCUAAAUGUGAGUUAUCGGCUAGUACUGAAGCAGGAUAUGUUUUUGAGUUACGUUUUUAGCCCAAAGCCUUUAUUGAAGCAAAACAACAGCUGAAGGUAGGCAACUUCUUGAGCUUGACUGGCUGUCAUUUAAAAAUCUAGCGUUAGCCGCGCUAGCUUGCGAUUAGCAUGAAGACACUGAAAAGCUCACAUAAAGGAAAGUUGACCAGUGACAACUUUGUAAAACCUUUACUAACAUCUACAACAUAUCAGCUUUCGAACAGAGUAGACUUUAAUGUUCACGUUCACUUCGUUUUUGGAAUAUUUACAUUCCAUCGAAGCCCAUUAGGGUAAAAUAACUUCAGGCAUAUAACAAUACUAUAUACUACUGCUUCAAAGGAAUAGGGUUCCCAUUCCUUCUGCUUUAUUUUCACACAAUUGUGUCUUGUAGAAGGGAACCAUGAAGAGGAGCGUGGAGUGGGCAAGGGGGAGGCUGAUAAAGCAGCAGAGAAGACCUGAUUCAUCAAGUAUCACAGUUAAUUCUGGUCAUUCUCACCUGGUUGGCAUGCACAACACGGCAAGGAAUGCAACAUUAAGCCCAAUAAAAUAUCCAAUGUUAUUUAACAGGGAUGCAAACUAGUUACCGUUCAGCGAAAUUCGCCAUUUUGAAUCCAAAAUAGGUAACCUAUGUGAUUCGUGUAGAUCCGAUGUGAAAAGCUUUUUAUUUAUUUAUUUUUUAUCACUACUGGCUGUAAGCGAACGAGUGAUGCACGUUUGGAGCAAUACUGGCUGUAUCCAAGUCUCAGCCAAUCGUUUACAUAACAACAUAGUUACAGCAUCAGCGUGCGCUCUGGAAAGACAGCGGAGAGUAGAAAGGCAGUUUGCCAGUUACAGCAGCGUGGCCCCUGAGCGAUAACGAAGAGGUAGGUGUGAAGCCUGACGACGGGGGUGAGAAGGUGAUGAAGCAUACUUCAUGAGCUGUAACCAAAAAACAACUGGCAUUUGGAAAGUUUGAGGUGAGGGAGCAAGUGUGGUGGAACAAGAAUUGCUAGCAUUGUUAAGUAUCUUGCUAGCUGGAUCGAAUUCUCUGUUAGUAGUUAGUUCGUUAGCUAGUUAACUAGCUAUCUAUUAACUCAUGUUUUCCCUCUACAGUAUGUGGUUAAUUUUCAGAAUGAGAGAAUUAGGUGAAAAUGAGGCGUCGCUUGUUAAACAAGUGGAUUCAGGGAUCAAGUGUAGCUGGAGCUGGGCCUGGUUUAAGCUGGAUGCCACUAUAGAGGUGAAAGGAACACCACACACUGGAUGCCACUAUAGAGACCUGAGGCUCUUUGACUGCGACUGAGGACAACCUGGCCUGACACCUGGACUGGACGUGCCUGACCCAAUCCCACCUUGCCCCCUUCUACCAGCCUGUUGUUGCCUCCACUGGUUCUUCAUCCCCUUCAAGUCACUGACCCUCUCCCCACACACCCAGAAACUUGUAUUUCAUUACUUACCAUAUGACUUUAUUAAAAGGCAUCUGUCAAUAGGGUCUUGAAGUGUGAGUACUUUCUCAUAGUCAUUAUGGAUAUUGUCUGAGCCUGCUGGCAAUUAAUACUGGUAUUGCCCUUUCCUUAAUGAAAUGGUGAAUAAAGGAAGACUAUGACUUCAUUUUCAAUUAAAACACAAUGAAGACAUUGUUAGAGUGCUUUUAUACUGUAUCUCUGUAUUACAGCAAAUCAAAUAAAGGUUAGUUCAAACUG